rnacentral:lncRNA from 1 species
UUCCUUCCUUCCUUCCUUCCUUCCUUCCUUCCUUCCUUCCAUUUCUUUCCUUUUCUUCUCCUUCCUUUUCCUGGUGUUUCUUUCCUUUCCCUUACUUCUCCUUCCCUUCCUUUUCCUUCUUUUUCCUUCCUUUUCCUGCCCUUUCUUCCCUUUCCCUCCCUUUUCCUCCUCCCUUCAUUUCCCUCCCAUUUCCCCCUUUCCUUCACUUUUCCUGCCCUUCCCUUCCCAGAUUCCCGAAAUCCCUUUCGCGGAUUCCCCGGAAUCUCCCACAGCGCCCACGGCUUUUCCAAAGAAAAUUCCCAAAGGCUUUUCCAUCCCCCAAUAAUUCUGGGAUCGACCCCAUCCCAUAAUCCCAUAAUCCCAUUACACCAUAAUCCCAUGAUCCCAUCACCCCAUAUUCCCAUAAUCCUGUCACCCCAUCAUCCCAUCAUCCCAUAAUCCCAUCAUCCCAUUAUCCCAUUAUCCCACCAUCCCACCAUCCCCAAAUCCCGGGAAUUCCCCCAUUCCCACAUUCCCACCUUCCCAGGUGGAGAAGCUGGCGCGGACGCUGUUCCUGUGGAAGAUGGACGUCCAUGACCAGAAGGAGCGCGUCUCCACCAUCCCACCACCCCCACCAUCCCACCAUUCCUCCAUCCCAUAAUCUCAUCAUCUCACCAUCCCCAAAUCCCGGGAAUUCCCCCAUUCCCACAUUCCCACAUUCCCAGGUGGAGAAGCUGGCGCGGACGCUGUUCCUGUGGAAGAUGGACGUCCAUGACCAGAAGGAGCGCAUCCGUUAUCCCAUUAUCCCACCAUCCCACCAUUCCCAUAUCCCACCACCCCAGCACACCCAAAUCCCAGGAAUUCCCCCAUUCCCACAUUCCCCCAUUCCCACAUUCCCACAUUCCCAGGUG